rnacentral:rRNA from 1 species
AUGGCACAGAAAAAUGGAUAUCCAAUCUGCGUCUUCAGUCCGAUCGCCGUCUGGGUAGAAGUGCAUACACCAUCGAUGGCCUCCGAUGGUGAAAGACUCCGACGCGAUGCAUUUGCCGUUGCCAAGCCCCUUGAUGCGGGAGUAGCCGUCUAUCUUGACGACGUGCGACCCGGACACAGCCGGCGCGACGAUGGCCGACGCAGCAGGCGAAGACCCGCCGCUGGGGGCGAUGUUGUCCACCGCAGACGAAGAGUGCGCUGCUGCUUCUCCUCGCCGGCUCGGUGCCACCAGCAUUGUUGCUUCUCCGUGCUAGCUGCAGGAAAAUCGUCAGAGACGGAAGUUAGGCCACAUACUGAGAGAGAGAGAGAGAGAGAGCAGAGAGAGAGCAGAGAGCAGAGAGCAGACAGCAGAGAGCAGAGAGAGAGCAGAGAGCAGAGAGCAGAGCAGAGCAAGAUGUGA